GACGAACUGUCCUAACGUUGUUCGGAAUCACUGGGCUUAAAGGGCGCGUAGGCGGUCGAUCAAGUCAGGGGUGAAAUCCUGCAGCUUAACUGUAGAAGUGCCUUUGAUACUGGUCGUCUCGAGGGAGGUAGGGGUGUGUGGAACUUCCAGUGGAGCGGUGAAAUGCGUAGAGAUGUGGAGGAACACCGAUGGCGAAGGCAGCCUCCUGGGCCAGCACUGACGCUCAUGCACGAAAGCGUGGGGAGCGAACAGG
rnacentral:rRNA from 1 species